rnacentral:rRNA from 1 species
UUCCCUUAGUAACUGCGAGUGAAGAGGGAAAAGCUCAAAUUUAAAAUCUGGCAGCCUUUGGCUGUCCGAGUUGUAAAUUAGAGAAGUGUUAUCCGCAUCGGCCUGUGCAAAAGUCUCCUGGAAAGGGGCGUCAUAGAGGGUGACAAUCCCGUCUUUGGCACAGAUUACCGUUGCUGUUGUGAUGCGCUCUCAAAGAGUCGAGUUGUUUGGGAAUGCAGCUCCAAAUGGGUGGUAAAUUCCAUCUAAAGCUAAAUAUUGGCGAGAGACCGAUAGCGCACAAGUACCGUGAGGGAAAGAUGAAAAGAACUUUGAAAAGAGAGUUAAACAGUACGUGAAAUUGUUGAAAGGGAAACGCUUGGAGUCAGUCAUGUCCUUCAGUAAUCAACCCGACCUCGUGUUAGGGUGCACUUUCUGAUUGGACAGGUCAGCAUCAAUUUUGACCCGUUGGACAAAGGCCUUGGGAAAGUGGCAUCCUCGGAUGUGUUAUAGCCCAUGGUUCGGAUGCAACGAUUGGGACUGAGGAACUCAGUGUGAACUUGGGGCUUCGGCUCACAUGCACGCACUUAGGAUGCUGGCGUAAUGGCUUUAAUCGACCCGUCUUGAAACACGGACCAAGGAGUCUAACGUGCAUGCGAGUGUUUGGGUGGAAAACCCAAGCGCGCAAUGAAAGUGAAAGUUGAGAACCCUGUCGUGGGGUGCAUCGACGCCCGGACCUGACCUUUUGUGAUGGACCUGCGGUAGAGCAUGCAUGUUGGGACCCGAAAGAUGGUGAACUAUGCCUGAAUAGGGUGAAGCCAGAGGAAACUCUGGUGGAAGCUCGUAGCGAUUCUGACGUGCAAAUCGAUCGUCGAAUUUGGGUAUAGGGGCGAAAGACU